rnacentral:rRNA from 1 species
AAGCAAGAGGACCCGCCGAAUUUAAGCAUAUAAUUAAGCGGAGGAAAAGAAACU